UUCGUCCUACGGGGGGCAGCAGUCGGGAAUAUUGCACAAUGGAGGAAACUCUGAUGCAGUGACGCCGCGUGCAGGAAGAAGGUUUUCGGAUUGUAAACUGCUUUAGAUGGGGAAGAAAAAAGACUGUACCCAUAGAAUAAGCUCCGGCUAACUACGUGCCAGCAGUCGCGGUAAUACGUAGGGAGCAAGCGUUAUCCGGAUUUAUUGGGUGUAAAGGGUGCGUAGACGGGCUAACAAGUUAGUUGUGAAAUCCCUCGGCUCAACUGAGGAACUGCAACUAAAACUAUUAGUCUCUGAGUGCGGGG
rnacentral:rRNA from 1 species